GCGUGACUUAGUGGUUACGGUGUUCGACUCAUAAUCGUAAGGUCUUGAGUUCGAUUCUCAACACGAGCA
rnacentral:tRNA from 1 species